UUACUGGGCGUAAAGCGUGCGUAGGUGGUUUGUUAAGUCAGAUGUGAAAGCCCCGGGCUCAACCUAGGAACUGCAUUUGAAACUGGCAAACUAGAGUAUAGGAGAGGAAAGUGGAAUUUCUGGUGUAGCGGUGAAAUGCGUAGAUAUUAGAAGGAACAUCAAUGGCGAAGGCAGCUUUCUGGACUAAUACUGACACUGAGGUACGAAAGCGUGGGUAGCAAACAGGAUUAGAUACCCUGGUAGUCCACGCCGUAAACGAUGAUAACUAGUCGUUGAGGGGGUUACCCUUUAGUGGUGAAGCUAACGCGUUAAGUUAUCCGCCUGGGGAGUACGGCCGCAAGGUUAAAACUCAAAGGAAUUGACGGGGACCCGCACAAGCGGUGGAGCAUGUGGUUUAAUUCGAUGCAACGCGAAGAACCUUACCUGGUCUUGACAUAUCGCAAACUUUCCAGAGAUGGAUUGGUGCCUUCGGGAAUGCGAAUACAGGUGCUGCAUGGCUGUCGUCAGCUCG
rnacentral:rRNA from 1 species